GACGAACGCUGGCGGCGUGCUUAACACAUGCAAGUCGAACGGAAAGGCCCUGCUUUUGUGGGGUGCUCGAGUGGCGAACGGGUGAGUAACACGUGAGUAACCUGCCCUUGACUUUGGGAUAACUUCAGGAAACUGGGGCUAAUACCGGAUAGGAGCUCCUGCUGCAUGGUGGGGGAUGGAAAGUUUCGGCGGUUGGGGAUGGACUCGCGGCUUAUCAGCUUGUUGGUGUGGUAGUGGCUUACCAAGGCUUUGACGGGUAGCCGGCCUGAGAGGGUGACCGGCCACAUUGGGACUGAGAUACGGCCCAGACUCCUACGUGAGGCAGCAGUGGGGAAUAUGGCGCAAUGGGCGGAAGCCUGAUGCAGCAACGCCGCGUGCGGGAUGACGUCCUUCGGGUUGUAAACCGCUUUCGCCUGUGACGAAGCGGGAGUGACGGUAAUGGGUAAAGAAGCACCGGCUAACUACGUG
rnacentral:rRNA from 1 species